UGGUAGUAAUGAUAAAAAGGUCGGAGUUACGGCUACUGCCAUUUGGUCGGUACUUGGUGGUAGAUUGAUGAAAGUUGGGUGAGGUAUUUUUUUGAGCCAG
rnacentral:snoRNA from 1 species